rnacentral:rRNA from 1 species
AUUGAACGCUGGCGGCAUGCUUUACACAUGCAAGUCGAACGGUAACAGGUCUUCGGAUGCUGACGAGUGGCGAACGGGUGAGUAAUACAUCGGAACGUGCCUAGUAGUGGGGGAUAACUACUCGAAAGAGUAGCUAAUACCGCAUGAGAUCUACGGAUGAAAGCAGGGGACCUUCGGGCCUUGUGCUACUAGAGCGGCUGAUGGCAGAGUAGGUAGUUGGUGGGGUAAAGGCUUACCAAGCCUGCGAUCUGUAGCUGGUCUGAGAGGACGACCAGCCACACUGGGACUGAGACACGGCCCAGACUCCUACGGGAGGCAGCAGUGGGGAAUUUUGGACAAUGGGCGAAAGCCUGAUCCAGCAAUGCCGCGUGCAGGAUGAAGGCCCUCGGGUUGUAAACUGCUUUUGUACGGAACGAAAAGCCUGGGGCUAAUAUCCCCGGGUCAUGACGGUACCGUAAGAAUAAGCACCGGCUAACUACGUG